rnacentral:tRNA from 1 species
UGGCGGUAUAGCUCAGUUGGUUAGAGCAGCGGAAUCAUAAUCCGAAGGUCGUUGGUUCAAGUCCGACUACCGCUAU